AGCAAGAGAAAAUCGUUUAUUUAGUGUAUGAUUACAUAGCAAAGGUCUCAUAGGCUGUACGGACUUGCGGAUAUCUGCAGAUCUGUAAGCCCUCUAAACAACCGAAAAUGUAUAGUUUGCACUGCUGAACCAGCCCUGACCCCACUGUAUUGCGAGAGCAGUAAUGACAAGAGAGACCUGGCAGAGGACAGCAGAUUGGAU